CGUGUGGAACAAAAGGGU
rnacentral:snRNA from 1 species